rnacentral:rRNA from 1 species
UACGUAGGGUGCAAGCGUUAAUCGGAAUUACUGGGCGUAAAGCGUGCGCAGGCGGUUUUGUAAGUCUGAUGUGAAAUCCCCGGGCUCAACCUGGGAAUUGCAUUGGAGACUGCAAGGCUAGAAUCUGGCAGAGGGGGGUAGAAUUCCACGUGUAGCAGUGAAAUGCGUAGAGAUGUGGAGGAACACCGAUGGCGAAGGCAGCCCCCUGGGUCAAGAUUGACGCUCAUGCGCGAAAGCGUGGGGAGCGAACAGG